GGGGGCGUAUGGAUUCGAUCCCGCGAAGCAAGACGGCGCGGCGUGCCGGAGAUGGACAGUUGGCUCCGUUAUCAAUCUGUCCAAAUGUCGUAACUGGCAAAAACAAAAUCAUUAGAGGUCUCAAGUUCGGUUCUUCGGAGCUGGUCCUUGCGGCUGCCUAAUAUCCUGCCGCUCUCAGCAGCGGCACGUCGCGGGGGCUGACUGCUCGCUAGGCUUUCGCGGCGUACAGCAGCGGGCGGGGCCGGGGGCUGUGCGUACCCACGGUCGCAUUUUACGCACUCGCCUCUGCGACCUGGCCACGGCAGAUCGCACGGGGUUAAACGAAAGCCGCGGCUACGCACGUAGAAACACCGUCCGAGAGCGCGGGAGACGCGGGUUCGACUCCCGCCGCCUCCACCA
rnacentral:tmRNA from 1 species